rnacentral:rRNA from 1 species
CUGCUGCCUUCCGUAGGAGUCUGGUCCGUGUCUCAGUACCAGUGUGGGGGACCUUCCUCUCAGAACCCCUACGCAUCGUCGGUUAGGUGGGCCGUUACCCCGCCUACUGCCUAAUGCGCCGCAUGCCCAUCCCUGUCCGGCCGAAGCCUUUCCUGCCUCCGGGAUGCCCCGGUCGGCAUGUACGCGGGUUUAGCCCGCCUUCGGCGGUUGUCCCCUCGACAGGGGCGAGGUUGCAUACGUGUUACUCACCCGUCGCGCCGGUCGCCGGCGGAGAAAG